AUAAUUCCCGCGUCGGUGGUGUGGGCAUUGGCCGAGAGAGGCAGCACGCGCAAUGGCAACAAAGAUGGCCGGCCGCUUGACUGUUCAGGAGCGAGCGCAGAUUGCUGCACGCUAUGAGGUGUGGAAUUUAGUGGUUGCUGUGCAGAGAUGGCGUCGAUAUUCCCAUUUAAAAAGGUCUGUGAUGCUGACACAUGACAAGGACUUGGUUGGAUCACCAUCUGCUGUAACAGCGAGUGACUACUGACACACAACUGUAGGAAGCAGAAAUGCAUGCAUGGCCCCUUGCAGUUUUGUGCAUCAAGGAGAGACUACUGCUUGUAUUAUAGCUGUGCUGAGCAGAUGGUCCUACAGUAUGUUGGAUUGUAGAUAGAAGCAUGUGCACGUUGUGCCUUUGUGUGAUAGAUGUGUGUUUGGAAUAGAACAUUAUGCAAGAAGAACUAUAUUAUGCUUGUAGUAAGCUAUCUUACCAGCAGACAUUUAUGUAUAGUUAAUUUGUACCUACUGCAGAAUUUUGGUAUGAAAUCUAGAGCGCAUUAAUUCUGAUUAUCAUCUGUUUCUUGUUGCAAGCCUUGGAUUAUAUUAAGAAAGUUGUCUGAUUAGGAACUUUAAUUUUUGUCUGAAAUUUUUUGAUUUGCACUAUAAAUGUAUCUGAUAAUGAACUUUGUUCAAAUCUAACUAAUUUUGUGGUACAUUGGAAGUUGAUGUUUUGGAAACUAUGGAAGUGCUGAGCUUCUUUGCUGGAUAUGUGUAACUGGAAUAUGUUAGAGAAAUGCAUAGACUCUAUUCCUAGUGACAGUGCCUUCAGAAAUAUGUAGACACCAUAGUAUGAGGGAGAAUGCCUUGAAAAACACAUUCUCAAUUGGAUGGUUUAAAAAAUACGGAAACUGGACUCAUGCUGAGUGUCUCCGGAGGAUACAUAGAUACUGAAGUAAUAUUUAUUCACUGUUUAUACUGGUUCAAUUCAGGCGAUUUCAUUGUUUUUUGCGUAUAAAAUCUUAUAAGAGCUUGAGAUGUUUAUUUAAUAUCGUCAUAAUAAACUUGUUAUUUGCAUUGUCACAAAUACCAACUUCAAAAAAUAAAUGCGCAAUAGUCUAAUAA